GGCGGCUGGAUUAGGCAUGCAAGUCGAACGGUAUGGACCUUUCGGGGUUCAAGAGAGUGGCGAACGGGUGAGUAACACGUAGGUAAUCUACCCUCAAGACGGGGACAACCCAGGGAAACUUGGGCUAAUACCGGAUGUGUGUAGUGGCUAUUUUUCUGAUUAUCAUUAUUUACGUAAGUGAGUAAUAAUAAGAAGGGAAAAGUGGUUAUUACAUAAAAGGUGGCGUAAGCUGCCGCUUGGGGAUGAGCCUGCGUCCUAUUAGUUAGUUGGUGAGGUAACGGCUUACCAAGGCGAUGAUAGGUAGGCGGCCUUAACGGGUGGUCGCCCACACUGGGAUUGAGAUACGGCCCAGACUCCUACGGGAGGCAGCAGUCGAGAAUAGUCUACAAUGGACGGAAGUCUGAUAGUGCGACGCCGCGUGAACGAAGAAUCCCUUCGGGGUGUAAAGUUCUUUUAUACGUGAGCAGUGUCCUUUAUAUUAAUAGUAUAAGGGGAGAGAUAUUAGCGUAUGAAUAAGCAACGGCUAACUCCGUG
rnacentral:rRNA from 1 species